rnacentral:rRNA from 1 species
UACGAAGGGGGCUAGCGUUGCUCGGAAUCACUGGGCGUAAAGGGCUCGUAGGCGGCCAACUAAGUCAGACGUGAAAUCCCUCGGCUUAACCGGGGAACUGCGUCUGAUACUGGGUGGCUUGAAUCCGGGAGAGGGAUGCGGAAUUCCAGGUGUAGCGGUGAAAUGCGUAGAUAUCUGGAGGAACACCGGUGGCGAAGGCGGCAUCCUGGACCGGUAUUGACGCUGAGGAGCGAAAGCCAGGGGAGCAAACGGG